UGAGCAAUCUGCCCUUCACAUCGGAAUAACCAUUGGAAACGAUGGCUAAUACCGAAUAUGACUUCGGAUCGCAUGAUCUGAAGUGGAAAGCUCCGGCGGUGAAGGAUGAGCUCGCGGCCUAUCAGCUUGUUGGUGAGGUAAUGGCCCACCAAGGCGACGACGGGUAGCCGGCCUGAGAGGGUGACCGGCCACACUGGGACUGAGACACGGCCCAGAUCCUACGGG
rnacentral:rRNA from 1 species